rnacentral:rRNA from 1 species
GUGAAGAAGGCCUUCGGGUUGUAAAGCUCUUUCGGCCGGGAAGAAAUCGUGUUCUCUAACAUAGGGCAUGGAUGACGGUACCGGACUAAGAAGCACCGGCUAACUACGUGCCAGCAGCCGCGGUAAUACGUAGGGUGCGAGCGUUAAUCGGAAUUACUGGGCGUAAAGCGUGCGCAGGCGGUUUUGUAAGACAGAUGUGAAAUCCCCGGGCUUAACCUGGGAACUGCGUUUGUGACUGCAAGGCUAGAGUACGGCAGAGGGGGGUGGAAUUCCUGGUGUAGCAGUGAAAUGCGUAGAGAUCAGGAGGAACACCGAUGGCGAAGGCAGCCCCCUGGGCCUGUACUGACGCUCAUGCACGAAAGCGUGGGGAGCAAACAGGAUUAGAUACCCUGGUAGUCCACGCCCUAAACGAUGUCGACUAGUCGUUCGGAGCAGCAAUGCACUGAGUGACGCAGCUAACGCGUGAAGUCGACCGCCUGGGGAGUACGGCCGCAAGGUUAAAACUCAAAGGAAUUGACGGGG